UACGGAGGAGGCAAGCGUUAUCCGGAAUUAUUGGGCGUAAAGCGUCCGCAGGUGGCACCUCAAGUCUGCUGUCAAAGACCGGGGCUUAACCCCAGAAAGGCAGUGGAAACUGAAGUGCUAGAGUGCAGUAGGGGUAGAGGGAAUUCCCGGCGUAGCGGUGAAAUGCGUAGAGAUCGGGAAGAACAUCGGUGGCGAAAGCGCUCUGCUGGACUGCAACUGACACUCAGGGACGAAAGCUAGGGGAGCGAAUGGG
rnacentral:rRNA from 1 species